GACAGAGGUGCCAAGCGUUAGGCGGAAUCACUGGGCUUAAAGCGUGUGUAGGUGGAUGCCUAAGUGCCUUGUGAAAUCCCACGGCUCAACCGUGGAAUUGCUGGGCAUACUGGGUGUCUUGAGCCAUCCAGGGGUCGCUGGAACAAACGGUGGAGCGGUGAAAUGCGUAGAUAUCGUUUGGAACGCCAAUGGUGAAAACAGGCGACUGGGGAUGAGCUGACACUGAGACGCGAAAGCCAGGGGAGCAAACGGG
rnacentral:rRNA from 1 species